rnacentral:rRNA from 1 species
AUUGAACGCUGGCGGCAGGCUUAACACAUGCAAGUCGAGCGGAGAUGAGGUGCUUGCACCUUAUCUUAGCGGCGGACGGGUGAGUAAUGCUUAGGAAUCUGCCUAUUAGUGGGGGACAACAUUCCGAAAGGAAUGCUAAUACCGCAUACGUCCUACGGGAGAAAGCAGGGGAUCUUCGGACCUUGCGCUAAUAGAUGAGCCUAAGUCGGAUUAGCUAGUUGGUGGGGUAAAGGCCUACCAAGGCGACGAUCUGUAGCGGGUCUGAGAGGAUGAUCCGCCACACUGGGACUGAGAAACGGCCCAGACUCCUACGGGAGGGAGCAGUGGGGAAUAUUGGACAAUGGGGGAAACCCUGAUCCAGCCAUGCCGCGUGUGUGAAGAAGGCCUUAUGGUUGUAAAGCACUUUAAGCGAGGAGGAGGCUACUGAGACUAAUACUCUUGGAUAGUGGACGUUACUCGCAGAAUAAGCACCGGCUAACUCUGUGCCAGCCGCCGCCGUAA